rnacentral:tRNA from 1 species
GUCCCUGUAGCUCAGUCGGAUAGAGCGACCCUCUCCUAAAGGGUAGGCCACCGGUUCGAUUCCGGUCAGGGACACCC